CUUCUUACCUAUUGUGACUCUAGAUAAGUUCCAUUCCACAUCAAAUUUAUUCCAAGAUCCAAGAUGACGAGUCACUCUCCAUCUACAACACUGAGUUUUCCCAGAAGAGUGAAAGAUCAUGAUCAAAGGCAUAAGGCCUCUUACGGCUUCCUCUCAGAAGGAAUAUGUGUCCUUCACACAUAAAUUUCAUUGGCUACAGCCAGUCACACAUGACCAGUCCUGGUGUUAAUGAGGUAGAGAAGUAUAAUUCUACCCUGAAGUACAGAAAAUAUUGGGACCAACACUGCAGCACUCCGUCAUUGUCCUUUCUAUUGGACAAAGGAGUGGAGGUGGAGAGGAGGCAUGGCAAAAACGCAAAUACUGGUCCCCAGCCUUGCCAGUGAUGAAAUAAUCAGUCCUUCCCUAAGAAGAGAGCCACCAGUAACUACCGG
rnacentral:lncRNA from 1 species